rnacentral:rRNA from 1 species
AAUAUUGCACAAUGGGGGAAACCCUGAUGCAGCAACGCCGCGUGAGCGAUGAAGGCCUUCGGGUCGUAAAGCUCUGUCCUAAGGGAAGAUAAUGACGGUACCUUAGGAGGAAGCCCCGGCUAACUACGUGCCAGCAGCCGCGGUAAUACGUAGGGGGCAAGCGUUAUCCGGAAUCAUUGGGCGGAACGGGUGCGUAGGCUGCCCUAUAGGUCAGAGGUCAAAGGCUACGGCUCAACCGUAGUAAGCCUUUGGAACUGUAGGGCUUGGGUGCAGGAGAGGAGAGUGGAAUUCCUAGUGUAGCAGUGAAAUGCGUAGAUAUUAGGAGGAACACCAGUGGCGAAGGCGACUCUCUGGACUGCAACUGACGCUGAGGCACGAAAACGUGGGUAGCGAACA